rnacentral:rRNA from 1 species
CACGUAGGGUGCGAGCGUUAAUCGGAAUUACUGGGCGUAAAGCGUGCGCAGGCGGUUUUGUAAGCCAGAUGUGAAAGCCCCGGGCUUAACCUGGGAAUGGCAUUUGGGACUGCAAGGCUUGAGUGCGGCAGAGGAGACUGGAAUUCCCGGUGUAGCAGUGAAAUGCGUAGAUAUCGGGAGGAAUACCGAUGGCGAAGGCAGGUCUCUGGGCUGACACUGACGCUCAUGCACGAAAGCGUGGGGAGCAAACAGG